rnacentral:rRNA from 1 species
GACGAACGCUGGCGGCGUGCUUAACACAUGCAAGUCGAACGAAGUGGCGAACGGGUGAGUAACGCGGAAUCAACCUGCCCUUCAGCGGGGGACAACAGUUGGAAACGACUGCUAAUACCGCAAACUGAGGGAGGGGAUUGCGUUGGAUGAGGUAGUGGGAGGGGUAACGGCCCACCAAGGCGGUGAUCAGUAGCCGGGCUGAGAGGGUGAACGGCCACAUUGGGACUGGGACCCGGCCCAGACUCCGACGGGAGGCAGCAGUGGGGAAUCUUCCGCAAUGGACGGAAGUCUGACGGAGCAACUCCGCGUGAGUGAUGACGGCCUUCGGGUUGUAAAGCUCUGUUAAUCGGGACGCGGUACCGGAAUAGAAAGCCACGGCUAACUACGUGCCAGCAGCCGCGGUAAUAC